AAGGGUCUAGAAAGUAAAUCUGAAGUGAUUGCCAAGAGAUGCUGGUUUAACAUACAUAAUAAUACUUUAGGGUUUUUGGAUCUGAGAAGGUAGCUGUUGUAGGAUACUUUUGUGAUACCACAGAUUUUACUGGUAAACACUAUCUUUUAAUAUAUGUGCAAUGGUGUUCAGUGAACUUACACUUAACAUGGACAACCAUCUGUGCAUGUGAAAACAAGCAUUUCAAUCUAUUCAUAAAAUGGGCAUUAGUGUCCCAGGCCACGACGGAGGAGUUGGAACUAGAUGAUCUUUUAAAGUGCCUUCCAACCCCAGAAUGCCUGUGUGUAUUUAGAGGGGCAGCUCCUGCAAUGCAGGUUGUGAUCUUUGCUGUUGGCACAUAUACUCUUCAUCGCUUACUCCAUAGCCAUGACAUGUAUGUAGUGGCCAGCCAAGCAGAUUUAAGCAAUGCUCUCAUAUUUCUUUUGAUGUCAGGUCAGAUUUCCUGGCCUUUCCAAAGACAAAGAGAGAAGCUGUUUCUCCCAAGCAACCUGUCCCGUUCUGUGCAUGAAUACAGCCCCAAAUACACACGUUAUGACCUUGGAGAGCCUUAUUCAGUGUUGCCUGCCAACCCUCUGUAUCAACCACGAUCCUGCACCACCAUCUAUUUCAGGAAUCUCCAGGUCAGAUCCCUACAACAGCUCCACCAACGUUAUCAAGCAACUGAAAUCCAAAGCAGACAAGCUGUAUGGAAGUGCUUAGCCCACUUUCCAUUGCUUUUCAAAAGGGAGUACAAAAGAGCCCCGUGCCCACUCUGACAGAGGUCCCUGCUCCUCCUGCAUCCUGGCUCUGCUCUGACCCUGUGGACAGUCUAUUCCUGCUCCAACGGAAACCAUCAACAGGACUUCUCCCAGCCCCUCCACCAGCAGUAACUCUGCCUGCAAAAUACUUAAGUGAAAGAAUUAGCUCUUAUAUGUAAUAAAUAAAUACAUAA